UAUCCUGGCUCAGAACGAACGCUGGCGGCAUGCCUAACACAUGCAAGUCGAACGAACCCUUCGGGGUUAGUGGCGCACGGGUGCGUAACGCGUGGGAACCUGCCUUUAGGUUCGGAAUAACAGUUAGAAAUGACUGCUAAUACCGGAUAAUGUCUUCGGACCAAAGAUUUAUCGCCUUUAGAUGGGCCCGCGUUAGAUUAGAUAGUUGGUGGGGUAAUGGCCUACCAAGUCGACGAUCUAUAGCUGGUCUGAGAGGAUGAUCAGCCACACUGGGACUGAGACACGGCCCAGACUCCUACGGGAGGCAGCAGUGGGGAAUAUUGGACAAUGGGCGAAAGCCUGAUCCAGCAAUGCCGCGUGAGUGAUGAAGGCCUUAGGGUUGUAAAGCUCUUUUACCAGGGAUGAUAAUGACAGUACCUGGAGAAUAAGCUCCGGCUAACUCCGUGCCAGCAGCGGGGGU
rnacentral:rRNA from 1 species